UUUCAAAGGAUGUGUAGGGGAGCAGGCUGGGAUGGGGACUAGGUUAUGCUGCAGUAACCUACAAUUCCACAAUCCCAGGAGCUUCAUGUAAGUUUUCAUUCACAUUACCUGCCUUCUACGGGACAGCUGGGGCACCACUCCACACAGUCACUCAAGGAUCCAGGUGUGGACGCCUCCACAGUUUUGCAGCUACACCAUCAAGAGUACGGGGCCUUCAUGUUCACCAUACAGAGGCUGAAGAAAGGAACACAGCUCUCCACGAUCUCAACAGAAAAGAGCACUCCUCCUUUUUUGCUGGCCAGAAUCAAUUGCCCGAACCCACUACCUGAAGGCUGGAUGGCCUAGGGGUGGGAGCUGGUGAAUCCCACUGUGGGGUCAUAGCAAGAAAACAAAGGAACAGAAAAAAAGGACAAUAUCAAGACCACUCUUAGCCUCAUCAACUCUUCACUCCCUACAGUGAAGGUCACACCAGAUGUGAUGUCACAGGUUGUAAGGUUAUAGACCAUGGCAAGACUGUGUCCAGGGAGAAAUGGUUUUGACCAGAGAUCGUGGACAGCAGCAGAAGCCCUGUGAUAGUACUUCUGGGAGCAUGUGCUCGUGGGACCCUUGUGGUUACAUGAACCACUGGAUAAUCCAAGAUCAUCUCUCAUCUGCUGUUCAACAAAUUAAUUCCGUUUGCAGCUUUAAUUCCCCUUGGCUAUGUAACAUACCAUAGUCACAGAGAUAUCUUCAGAAGGCCCAUUAUUCUAUCCACAACACUGAGAUUGCUGAGCAGCAAGUGGCCAAGUCUGUAUCAAAAUAAAAGUCUAACUACAAACUCAUAGUCAUGACUU